UGGGAAUUUUGGACAAUUGGGCGAAAGCCUGAUCCAGCAAUGCCGCGUGUGUGAAGAAGGCCUUCGGGUUGUAAAGCACUUUUGUCCGGAAAGAAAUCCUUGGCUCUAAUACAGUCGGGGGAUGACGGUACCGGAAGAAUAAGCACCGGCUAACUACGUGCCAGCAGCCGCGGUAAUACGUAGGGUGCAAGCGUUAAUCGGAAUUACUGGGCGUAAAGCGUGCGCAGGCGGUUUGCUAAGACCGAUGUGAAAUCCCCGGGCUCAACCUGGGAACUGCAUUGGUGACUGGCAGGCUAGAGUAUGGCAGAGGGGGGUAGAAUUCCACGUGUAGCAGUGAAAUGCGUAGAGAUGUGAGGAAUACCGAUGGCGAAGGCAGCCCCCUGGGCCAAUACUGACGCUCAUGCACG
rnacentral:rRNA from 1 species